GGCGAGUGAAGCGGCAAUAGCUCAAAUUUGAAAUCUGGCUCCUUUUAGGGGUCCGAGUUGUAAUUUGCAGAGGGUGCUUUGGCGUUGGUAGCGGUCUAAGUUCCUUGGAACAGGACAUCGCAGAGGGUGAGAAUCCCGUUUGUGGUCGCAUGCCUUCGCCGUGUAAAGCCCCUUCGACGAGUCGAGUUGUUUGGGAAUGCAGCUCUAAAUGGGAGGUAAAUUUCUUCUAAAGCUAAAUACUGGCCAGAGACCGAUAGCGCACAAGUAGAGUGAUCGAAAGAUGAAAAGCACUUUGGAAAGAGAGUCAAACAGCACGUGAAAUUGUUGAAAGGGAAGCGCUUGCAGCCAGACUUGCCCGUAGUUGCUCACCUAGGCUUUUGCCUGGGGCAUUCUUCUGCGGGCAGGCCAGCAUCAGUUUGGGCGGUCGGAUAAAGGUCUCUGUCAUGUAGCUUCCUUCGGGAAGAACUUAUAGGGGAGACGAAAUGCGACCAGCCUGGACUGAGGUCCGCGCAUCUGCUAGGAUGCUGGCGUAAUGGCUGUAAGCGGCCCGUCUUGAAACACGGACCAAGGAGUCUAACAUCUAUGCGAGUGUUUGGGUGUCAAGCCCGAACGCGUAAUGAAAGUGAACGGAGGUGGGAACCCUUUGGGUGCACCAUCGACCGAUCCUGAUGUCUUCGGAUGGAUUUGAGUAAGAGCAUAGCUGUUGGGACCCGAAAGAUGGUGAACUAUGCUUGAAUAGGGUGAAGCCAGAGGAAACUCUGGUGGAGGCUCGCAGCGGUUCUGACGUGCAAAUCGAUC
rnacentral:rRNA from 1 species